GGGCCGCUAGCUCAGCUGGUAGAGCAACGCCCUUUUAAGGCGUGGGUCUCAGGUUCGAACCCUGAGCGGCUCA
rnacentral:tRNA from 1 species